UAAGUAUGAAUAUUUGAAUGAAUAUUUUUAUAUGAAUAUUUUUUACACUGACUGUACAGACGCUGUCAAGGCGUGUCGUGAAAUCUAAACAGUGUUCCACGACCGUCAUCGCUAUUGCACGAUCGUAAACUUCGACAGAUGUAGAUCGUGUAACUGUUCGUAUGCGUUUUAACAUUACGAAUGUCUCGUAACGUCCCUUGAAUUGGCGCUUCUGUGAAUAGAGAGCAUGCUUCCAAAGGUGGAGCGAGAUAGAGCGGACAAAGUACUAUUCUCGCCCAUAUGCUCUGCCUCACCAGCCAUCUUCUCUUCUCUGCACUAUGUUUUUAUUGAGAUACUGUAUAUGUAAUGUGACGAGCGGCACUCAUGGUGUCAUGUUCGGGCCAUAUCAAUCGCGCCAGUGGCAAUCCGAUUUUCAAAACAAAUACAAACGAUGUUAAAAAUUAUUAUUAUUAUUUCUAUAGUAAAUUUACCACCGUUAUGUUCAUCAUUUAUUUAUCUUUAUAUUUAUCACGAACUCCAGUUUGACUUACGUACAUCGUACGAAUAACGUGUCAAUUUCUACUAAGCUUACGGGAGUUGCUCGUUUGUGUUCGUCUGACUGCACCAGUCAAGUUUAUUGCAUCAGUAAAACAUCUCGUUCAUAACGAUGAUUCUCUAUUUGUUUUAAACAGUGUAAUCAUUCACGUAAGUAAUUAUAUUUCUUCAUAAUGUCAGGACACGAAUAACCUCUGUAUUUCUGUAGCUUAUCUGUUUUUCAAAUGUUAAUUCUGUUUAACUAUUCAAUUGGCCAUUAUUCUGUCUACUGUUUUUGAUCACAACGGACUCACAAAGCAUUUGCGAGGAAAUCGACAGCGUUGCCGAACUACGUACAAAGGCUUUUCUGUUUCUACGUAAUAAUGCAAAGAUUGCACAUUGUACGAAUCGUUUGAGAAGAUUCAGCUUUUCGAAUGGAAGCUUCUUAUGCAAGAUGGAUCGUAAUUCGUGGCACAAGCAGAACGAGAGGAGUGAUAUGGUUAAAAAUAAGGCGAAACUUGAGAUUGAAACGUUCCCUCGCAUAUUGGUAGAAUGCUAACAGAUUGUCGAGACAAUCUCUACCAUGACACGGACUCUCUCCCCCUCUCAAUGUCUCAAUUAAAACAACAGACCAAAUUUUAUUUAUUACGUUCGUUGUGUUCAUCACCAAGCUCGAAGAAUUAAUUAAUAAUUAAGUAUUGACAGCGAAUAAGCCAAAUAAGCGAGGACUGUGGCCUAAAAAGCAGAGGAAGUUACAAUAGCAGUCUGUGAUGAAAUCCGUGAGGCUAAUCACGUGUCAUUCAGCGGAUCUUCAAACGCGUUUCUCUCGAAAGCGAAGCCGCCAACUUAAUCUUGUUAUUUCUAAUUCACUUUCAUUCUGGGCCAUAGAAUUUUCCUUGCUCUGCUUCUAUCAUGUUUGCUGAUGCAGGAUGUAUAUUCUGCAUUUUCCUUCCAUAUUAUUUCUUAUACACAGACAGCACAGGUUCUUAUCUCUUUCCAUCUCAUAUGUAAUUCUUGCCAUCUUACUGUUUUAAAGCUGUCUAUUUGCUAAUCGGCUUUUCCGUACUCUUGUUUGAUAAAUUUUUCGCCAUGGAGACAGUCCAUGUCUCCGUCUUCGUCAAAUUAAAUAUAUUUAAGACAUAAUCUUCUUUCUUGUAACGUUAAUGAGUUUGUUCGCACUCAACAACAAUUUUUUUUUCUUUUUUGGACUACAGACUGACUAACAAUCUAUCUCUUUCUUUCGCAAUUUUUCUUGUGCAGAUUUAGACAGAUAAAUUUAAUUUUGAAAUUGUUUUAUUUUCGACUUCCUUCGAUAUUGGGUUCAUGUUCGGAUAGAGUUUAAUUCUCGGUUGUCGUUAUGGGUCCUGGUGACCUACAGUUUUACUUUAGAAAGAGAUAUCUUCAAGAUAUUCGCUUAUAAUUGCAUUAUGUGCACAGUAUUAUUAGUUUGAAGUGUUUCUUAUAAUCUCUGACGAUUAUACCGCUAAAACUCUCGUCAGUCGCGUACUGAAUGUCGUGGCAACUCUCCACAGUUAGUAAUGGGUCAUGUUGAUCCAGGUGUGACAAAAGCGUAUUCUUUGCUCAGAUCGAACAUAUUUUAUUUAUGUGCAAAUUUUCCAUACAGAUUCUUGUGCAUUCACUGUGGAGGAACUCUUUUCAAAUCUUUCUUAUUUACUUUUAAAAUAUAUAAAUCUACCUAUCUAUAAAUAAAAUACAGAAUGUUUGUAGCUUUGACUUGACUUUUUCAUAUAAUUGUCUCGGUUUUCUUAUUCGAAAACUGCUUUUCUUCGACAUGUCAAAUAAAUAUCUUCUUUGAAGCAUGCACUAGGAAACUACUUUUUCCCCUAGAGCACCACAUCUCGAAAGCAUCAUCGUAGAUGUUUAGCGAGGGAAGCAUAAAGAAGUUACCGCAUAACUUUUCAUAAAAAUAUCUUUCUUCCAAACUUGCAGGUAAAAAGAUUUUUUUAAAGAACAAACGUUGUUUGUUAACCUUUCUUUUGCCAAAAAAUAUUCUAGGACGUUUAAACUACCCUCAAAUUUUGUCUAUCCAAUAUCACUGUUAUUUUUCAUUAAACAGCAUUUACUUGAGGAUUGAAAAGGGCCCCAGUGUCUGAAAUAAGAGUCGAUUUAUUAUCAUUUAUUAUCAUUAAAAGAACAAAUUUCAGUUCAGCAGUAAGAUCAUCAUCUUGUGGAAUAAUACAUUUCCUCCGGUGGCAGUACUUUUACGUAAACAGUACGCAAUUCUGAAUGGCACAGUCUUGAAUAGGCUAAUUAAAAAUGGCACCAUAAUAUUACCAGAAUAUCCAUAAUAUAAUCGCAACAACGCUAUCAUAUUAUAAGCAGACUAAUAUAAAAUUUUCAGAAACAAAAAUCUAUGUACGUUUCGUGCUGGCAAGUGGAUGUUGAAAUAUUUCAAUUUCGGAUUAAAAUAGACUUACAAAGUUUUCCAAAGGUUGCGUAACAACUUUAUCGUGCGAUUUCGUGUUGCGAAAAAUGUUAGAUAAUAAAGAAGAGAUUAGAGGGUAUAAAGUCUGCGAGAUGAAAAACAGAAAUAGAAAGCAAACGAUUUAACUCUUGAGAAUUUCAUUGCACGUGCCUAUUGAGAUUUUGUAAUGUAAAAUAACAGCGUGACUAAUUGUUAAAUGAUAAGAUAUUUCGCUGAUUUCAGCUGGAAUUGAUGUGUUAUUGGAUGACGGUACAAAGACGUUAAAUUGAAAUCGAGUCUUGAAAAGUACCAUAUUUUCAAACGAAAUGGCAAAAUGUUUGAUUACGUUGGAAUUAUAGGCACUUUACGAGCACUUAACGCAGCUAAUGUGUUUUUCUUGCGCAUCAUGCUGUAUCACACUAUAUAUUCAUGUGCAUAUCCAACAAAUCAGAAUUCCAAUACUCAUAAACCGAACAGAAACGUUAUCGAGAAUAAAAAAAUUUGCACGAAUAAAUGUGAAAAUAUUACUAAGUUACUAUUGGGUUGGCAACUAAGUGAUUGCAGAUUUUGUCAUUAGGUGGUAUUGAUAAAAUACGCAAUCACUUAUUUGCCAAUCCAAUAUAUCUCGCUGUAUUAAUAAGAGAUGAUCUUUGCCACUAAUUGUUACGUUUAAGACUACUAUUCACGCUGUAUACUGAUUUUCUACUAAUUGCAAGUGCAUAUUUGUCUUGUAAUUUCUGUAUACAUUCUUUGAUUGCUUUCAAACGUUACUACAUUUAGAUUAAAAAAAAAAAAACAAUAUAGAGCUAAUGAAAUUUCAAAAAGUUUCAUAUAAUGCACAUAAUAUAUUCAUAAAAGAGUUCUAUGGAAAAUGUUGGAAUAUUUUCAUAAACCACAGCGUAUCGUGUUAUUUGAAACAAUGAAACUAAAUUUAAAUUUGUUCGUUGGAAAAUUGCUAACACUUAAUGAGUGAAAUUUCCGAGCUUAUUAACUCAAGAAUGAUAACGAAUCUGGUCAUAAAAGAUAUGUAUAUGCUAAUAGAAAUAUUAUUUUUGAUCAUACGUAAUACGCACGUGAGGUCAUGAGCAUAAACCGAAGAAACGUUUUAAGGAGUAAAACGAAUUAGAGGAAGAAAAAGAGGAAAUUGGGGAAUUUGAAUUUCGAUAAAAUUUCGCGAAACAAUUGAAUCUAUUGGAACAAAACAACACAUAGGAAAAGGAACGUAAAAUGCGUGUAUCAAGAACUAUUAUAAACACAGGAUAUCCGAGAAUAGAGCGGUGACUACUCUCGACGAUGUCUAAACAUUUACUUGGACUGAAAAUAGUUCGUUCAGGAAUUGGAAUUUCAGUCUAUAAAACAACUCUUCUUAGAAAAAUCUAGUUGCCGUACGUCAAUCUAUUUUCUCCCGAACUGUAUAAAUAUCGAAAUAAGCGAACGAAACGGUGUAACGUUAAGGCUUGUUUUCUCCUUUAUUCUUAAAUAGCUUGAUUUUAAGCAGUGCCUAAAUAUUUAAAAUAUUAUAAAAGAUUCAGCAGUAAAAUCAGAUAUUAGAAUAUGUAUACGAAUUUUCUUCCAACAUGAAAUAAUGGAAGAAAAAGUUCUGGCAAUAUGGUAAUGUUAAAAAAGAUUUCAAUUUCAUAUAUUGCUAUUCAAUGUUAUACAUACAUAUAUAUAUAUAAUUGUACAAUAUGCAUAUUUCAAUAUCUAUUUGAAUAUACGUUUCAAUAUGUAUAUUUGGGUAUAUAUUUCAAUAUGUAUAUUUGAGUAUAUAUUUCAGUGUAUAUAACUGAAUGUAUAUUUUAAUAUGUGUACUUCAAUAUAUAUUUCAAUAUGUGCAUUUCAAUAUAUAUUCCAAUAUGUAUAUUUGGGUAUAUAUUUCAAUAUGUAUAUUUGAGUGUAUAUUUCAGUGUAUAUAACUGAAUGUAUAUUUUAAUAUGUGCAUUUCAAUAUAUAUUCCAAUAUGUAUGUUUGAAUAUCUAUUUGAAUGUAUAUCUCAAUAUGUAUAUUUGAAUAUAUAUUUCAAUGUGUAUAUUUCAAUAUAUAUUUCAGUACAUAUAAUUGAAUAUAUAUUUCAAUAUGUGUAUCUCAAUGUAUAUUUCAAUAUGUAUUUGAAUGUAUAUUUCAAUAUUUGGUUAGUAAUUAACAUGGACUAUUGUCCUAACAGCUACAACCAAAAUGACUAAAAGUUGCUGUGUAACGAUUAGUAGAUUAGAUUAGUAGUAGAUUAGUAGAGUUUGACUGACUUUGGUUACGAAUAACCGUUAUAGAUCAAAAUUUGUUUGGUUACCGACACCAUCAUAGAUGAGAGAACUUCUUUUUGGUUGCCCAUAGCCAUUAUGUAUUAGAGGGAAAAAUGAGAAAGGGAGAGAAAAAUAAUAUUUCCUUUUGGUUGACGAUUCAUAAAAGUGUUAAGGACAACUGUUAUUUUUGAGGUAUCAAAAUAAAAGAAAAUGGUCUUACACCACUUUCAAAAUAAACGGUC